rnacentral:misc_RNA from 1 species
AAAGUGCGAUAACUAAUGUGAAGUGCAUUGCUUGUGAAUCAUUGAGUUUUCGAACGCAGCUUGCACUCUGGCCUUUAGCGCCAGAGUAUACCUGUUUGAGCGUUUGUAAGGAACCAUAAAAUCGCAAGAUUUUGUAGUGGGUCUAUCCCCUUUUAUAAGGGGAAGGCUUUAAAGACAAACAUGAAAAGGUUAUGGGGUGGGAUGAAAGAUAGGUGCGCGCAUAGGCACACUUUUCUCGCAAGAGAGAAGAGCGUUUGUGUGCAAGCCUUCUUUACACCCAAGAACCAAAACUAAACCUCAAAUCAGGUAGGACUACCCGCUGAACUUAA